GUCAGAGUGGCAUAGUGUUUUGAGUGUUGGAUUAUAAUUUUGGAGUCCAGGGUUCUAUUCCCAACUCAGCCA